rnacentral:rRNA from 1 species
UACGUAGGGUGCAAGCGUUAAUCGGAAUUACUGGGCGUAAAGCGUGCGCAGGCGGUGAUGUAAGACAGGUGUGAAAUCCCCCGGGCUUAACCUGGGAACUGCACUUGAAACUACGAUGCUGGAGUAUGGCAGAGGGAGGUGGAAUUCCACGUGUAGCGGUGAAAUGCGUAGAGAUGUGGAGGAACACCGAUGGCGAAGGCAGCUCGUCUGGGACGGUAC